rnacentral:misc_RNA from 1 species
GAUGAAGAACGCAGCGAAAUGCGAUAAGUAGUGUGAAUUGCAGAAUUCAGUGAAUCAUCGAAUCUUUGUACGCACAUUGCGCCCCCUGGUAUUCCGGGGGGCAUGCCUGUCCGAGCGUCAUUACAACCCUCAAGCUCAGCUUGGUGUUGGGCCCCGCCGCCCCGGCGGGCCCUAAAGUCAGUGGCGGUGCCGUCCGGCUCCGAGCGUAGUAAUUCUUCUCGCUCUGGAGGUCCGGUCGUGUGCUCGCCAGCAACCCCCAAUUUUUUUCAGGUUGACCUCGGAUCAGGUAGGGAUACCCGCUGAACUUAAGCAUAUCAAUAAGCGGAGGA